rnacentral:rRNA from 1 species
GUGGGGAAUAUUGGACAAUGGGCGAAAGCCUGAUCCAGCCAUGCCGCGUGUGUGAAGAAGGUCUUCGGAUUGUAAAGCACUUUAAGUUGGGAGGAAGGGCAGUAAGUUAAUACCUUGCUGUUUUGACGUUACCGACAGAAUAAGCACCGGCUAACUUCGUGCCAGCAGCCGCGGUAAUACGAAGGGUGCAAGCGUUAAUCGGAAUUACUGGGCGUAAAGCGCGCGUAGGUGGUUUUGUAAGUUGGAGGUGAAAUCCCCGGGCUCAACCUGGGAACUGCCUCCAAAACUGCAUGACUAGAGUACGGUAGAGGGUAGUGGAAUUUCCUGUGUAGCGGUGAAAUGCGUAGAUAUAGGAAGGAACACAAGUGGCGAAGGCGACUACCUGGACUGAUACUGACACUGAGGUGCGAAAGCGUGGGGAGCAAACAGGAUUAGAAACCCGGGUAGUCC